rnacentral:misc_RNA from 1 species
GAUGAAGAACGUAGCAAAAUGCGAUAAGUAAUGUGAAUUGCAGAAUUCAGUGAAUCAUCGAAUCUUUGAACGCACAUUGCGCCCGCCAGUAUUCUGGCGGGCAUGCCUGUUCGAGCGUCAUUUCAACCCUCAAGCACAGCUUGGUGUUGGGACUCGCGUUAAUUCGCGUUCCCUAAAUUGAUUGGCGGUCACGUCGAGCUUCCAUAGCGUAGUAGUAAAACCCUCGUUACUGGUAAUCGUCGCGGCCACGCCGUUAAACCCCAACUUCUGAAUGUUGACCUCGGAUCAGGUAGGAAUACCCGCUGAACUUAAGCAUAUCAAUAAGCGGAGGA